GGGAUAACCCGGAGAAAUCCGGACUAAUACCCCAUAAUAUGGGCGCUCCGCAUGGAGGGCUCAUUAAAGAAAGCAAUUUUGGUUACAGACGAGCAUGCGCUCCAUUAGCCAGUUGGCGGGGUAACGGCCCACCAAAGCGACGAUGGAUAGGGGUUCUGAGAGGAAGGUCCCCCACAUUGGAACUGAGACACGGUCCAAACUCCUACGGGAGGCAGCAGUGAGGAAUAUUGGUCAAUGGUCGGCAGACUGAACCAGCCAAGUCGCGUGAGGGAAGACGGCCCUACGGGUUGUAAACCUCUUUUGUCGGAGAGUAAAGUGCGCUACGCGUAGCGUAUUGCAAGUAUCCGAAGAAAAAGCAUCGGCUAACUCCGUGCCAGCAGCCGCGGUAAUACGGAGGAUGCAAGCGUUAUCCGGAUUUAUUGGGUUUAAAGGGUGCGUAGGCGGCACGCCAAGUCAGCGGUGAAAUUUCCGGGCUCAACCCGGAAUGUGCCGUUGAAACUGGCGAGCUAGAGUACACAAGAGGCAGGCGGAAUGCGUGGUGUAGCGGUGAAAUGCAUAGAUAUCACGCAGAACCCCGAUUGCGAAGGCAGCCUGCUAGGGUGAAACAGACGCUGAGGCACGAAAGCGUGGGUAUCGAACAGGAUUAGAUACCCUGGUAGUCCACGCAGUAA
rnacentral:rRNA from 1 species